rnacentral:rRNA from 1 species
GUUGAACGCUGGCGGAAUGCUUUACACAUGCAAGUCGAACGGCAGCACGGACUUCGGUCUGGUGGCGAGUGGCGAACGGGUGAGUAAUGUAUCGGAACGUGCCCAGUCGUGGGGGAUAACGUAGUGAAAAUUACGCUAAUACCGCAUACGAUCUAUGGGUGAAAGCGGGGGAUCGCAAGACCUCGCGCGAUUGGAGCGGCCGAUAUCAGAUUAGGUGGUUGGUGGGGUAAAGGCCCACCAAGCCAACGAUCUGUAGCUGGUCUGAGAGGACGACCAGCCACACUGGAACUGAGACACGGUCCAGACUCCUACGGGAGGCAGCGGUGGGGAAUUUUGGACAAUGGGCGAAAGCCUGAUCCAGCCAUUCCGCGUGCAGGAUGAAGGCCCUCGGGUUGUAAACUGCUUUUGUACAGAACGAAAAGGUUUCUACUAAUACUAGGAGCUCAUGACGGUACUGUAAGAAUAAGCACCGGCUAACUACGUGCCAGCCGCCGCGGUAA